GACGUAGGGCGCGAGCGUUGUCCGGAUUUAUUGGGCGUAAAGAGCUCGUAGGCGGCUCGUUGCGUCGGCUGUGAAAACCCGCAGCUCAACUGUGGGCUUGCAGCCGAUACGGGCGGGCUGGGAUUCGGUAGGGGAGACUGGAAUUCCUGGUGUAGCGGUGAAAUGCGCAGAUAUCGGGAGGAACACCAAUGGCGAAGGCAGCUCGCUGGGACGGUACUGACGCUGAGACGCGAAAGCGUGGGGAGCGAACAGG
rnacentral:rRNA from 1 species